rnacentral:rRNA from 1 species
ACACGUAGGGGGCGAGCGUUGUUCGGAAUCAUUGGGCGUAAAGGGCGUGCAGGCGGUCCUGCAAGUCCGGCGUGAAAGACCCCGGCCCAACCGGGGGGACGCGCUGGAAACUGCAGGGCUUGAGUACAGGAGGGGAUGCCGGAAUUCCAGGUGUAGGGGUGAAAUCUGUAGAUAUCUGGAAGAACACGAAUGGCGAAGGCAGGCAUCUGGCCAUGUACUGACGCUGAGACGCGAAGGUGCGGGGAGAAAACAGGUUUAGAUACCCUGGUAGUCCGCACAGUAAACGAUGUGCACCAGGUGGCGGGGGGUCGACCCCCGGUACCGUAGCUAACGCAUUAAGUGCACCGCCUGGGGAGUAUGCUCGCAAGGGUGAAACUCAAAUGAAUUGACGGGG